UACGUAGGGUGCAAGCGUUAAUCGGAAUUACUGGGCGUAAAGCGUGCGCAGGCGGUUUUGUAAGUCUGUCGUGAAAUCCCCGGGCUCAACCUGGGAAUUGCGUUGGAGACUGCAAGGCUAGAAUCUGGCAGAGGGGGUAGAAUUCCACGUGUGAGCAGUGAAAUGCGUGAGAGAUGUGGAGGAACACCGAUGGCGAAGGCAGCCCCCUGGGUCAAGAUUGACGC
rnacentral:rRNA from 1 species